GCCAGGAGCGCCGUUAGCUGCGGGCCGCAGCGCCCACCCGCCAUGUUGGGCGCCGAGCGAGGCUUCUCGGCGGGGAGUGUGGGGAAGGGCAGCGGCCGGCCCGCAGCCUCGCUCGCCCGCCCGGGUUUUUCAAGGAAGCGGGAGACGCAAGGGCCACCCCGCCUACGCCUGGCGGCGCAGACAGGCGGUGCUCGCAAUGCCGCGGAGGACGCCACCUCUUAUCGCCGCUUGCCCGUCGAGGCCACGCCCCCUCCCGCCCCCACUUGCCGUUGCCCGGGGUGUCGGUUACCUCAGCAACCACCGCCCUUUCUUCCUGACCGCCAAGCUGACAAUAAACAGAUGACCCAAUGUUGCCCAAGUUAGAGCAUGCACCGCUGCUGCCCAGGCCUCCAAUAAGGGCAGGGUUGGCGCGUGUGGGCUUCUCUAAAGGGAAACAUGGCCAGUAAUUUUAAAAUCCAUCCCCUCUUCAAUGAUAGCAAAUAUAAAAGCAACGGGCUGCAAAGUACACGUAUGUUUAAUGAAAAAUGGAGGGACGUGGUUACAAAAACCUGAGACUUCCAUUUUGCUGGAACCUUCUUUUCCUCUUGCACACUCACUCUGCGACUCUGUGUGGAGAGCUCCAAGUGACAAGGGAGGUCUGCAGCCUAAGCAACUGACACCUCAGCCCAACAGCCCUCAAAGAACUGGAUCUUCAAACAACCACAUGAGUGACCUAGAAGCAAAUCUGUCACCAGUGCUCUUGAGACGGGCUGAAGUAUUUAAUCACCGGCACAAAAUGUCCCAGUGUUCUGUUCUCCUGCCAUGGAAAUUUUAGAGAAAAGAUCAUGAUCUAAGAGUCUACAAGACCAGAGCAGCCUAAAUUGCUGAGCUGCCUGGUGGAGAAUAGCAGCAUUGGGUGGUUCCCAGGAUUCUUAAAAGGACUUUACAAAGGACAGCCUAGGACAGAACUGUUUGAAUUAUAGAGUAGAUGCCAUCGAUACCCUGUCUACAACCUUCAGAUCUUAUCGCUUCUGUGUCCACUGGCCUACUUUCAGCUGCAGGUAUCUGCAUCGCUUUGCUGGAGAAUGUUAUCCAAAGCUGCUGAUGUCCUUUCUGCUUCACUGCCCAUGUACAUGGAGGUCUGAAAAUGACAAGGAAAU
rnacentral:lncRNA from 1 species